UCACUCCAUCGUCAUCCUCUUAUUAAUAUCUGACGAUUCAGUGCAAGCAGUAAUUAAUUAAUCAGCCAGGCGAAACUUCAUCGGUUCUUCCUUGAAAUUUCCUUGGAAUUUCAUUUCUACGCGCAUUGGAGCAUUAUAAAAGCCCGUGCCGUGAUUCAUCGCUCAUUCCAGCGCCAUUUUCGGCUUUCAUUGUUUAGCUUGUCGGAGUUCAUCAGACAGGGCGCUGCCGGAGACUCACGGCUCGCAGAACCAGCUUCAUACGAUGCUGUUUUGAAGAAUGAAGGGGGAACAGAAGGCCCUUUGGCAACCGCCCAUUAGCAGCCCAAAACAACCGAGUUUUGGACCCAUGGGCUGGAGGGCCAAAACGGCGAUCUCCCCUGCCGUUUCAUCAGCUAGCACGUCUUGCUUGUCGUUUAGCCUGUUUCUCUUUUACCCAUCAAUUCUAUCUUUUUCAGAUCAAAUCCUCACCGCUGCCUUCCCUUAUUUAUAUUCUCUGGCACCUCGAGAUCUGUGCAGUCCAAACUCCGAUUGAUUAUACCAUUUUAGGGUUUUCUCAUUCUCUUUCAUGAUUUGCUCUAUGUACAGUUCUCCUCUCUAUUUUCUCUCUAAGGUUGCCUCUAAUAUGUAUUCGUGUGGUUAUGGGGCAUUUUUCAUUAGAGAGCAUUUUGCUUGUACAGUGAGUGAAUGAGAGUGUGAUAUGUAUAUUGAGACUGUAAUCAUUUUUUUAAUAAUAUAGUGAGCUCUCAUUGUCGGAACUCAAUGUGAAUGUAGCCCUCAUUAAUGAGUGAACCACGAUAAAUCGUUUUGUGAUCAAUCUUGCAUUCUAUUUAUGUUUCAUUUAAUUACAUGCGAGUUCUCCUUUAUCGUUUAUUCUGUGUUUGGUGUUUUGAGGCUCUGUUUAAUUUUGAGAUUCUGAUUAUUUGUGGUGGCCGAGGUUUUUAUCUCGACCCAACACUUAUAAAGGAUAAAACUAGUUAAAAAUGUCUAGAUUAAGACUUAUAAUUAUUAUUGUCAUAUUUAUUAUAAUUUAUAAUUAUAAACCCUUUUGGUAAAUGCUUUAAUUUUGUUUUGUAUAAUUCUAAAUAAAAAUUCUAUACAUAAUUUUUGCUAGCUUGUAUGAUAUGAAGGAGAAAGAUAUAUAUUUUGUAAUGGUUAUUACUUAUUAAGCUUCUUUUGUAAUCUCGCUCUUGUUCAAUCUUUAAAGUCAAGUGGUGGAGUUUAGUUUCUUACUUAUAGUGUUCUUUCUUUUUGCUUUAAGAGGUUUGUGUGCAUCUUUCCGUCUUUUGUAACGGUGGUUGGAUAUGGUGUCUUUUUGAGCAUUUGAUUAGAUGGAUAUAUGGGGAAAGAUUGUCAAGAGUGUAGUUUUGCUCCAUACCACCGGCCUUCUCGGGUCGUCUUCUUGUCCUUUUAUUGGACGUUGGCCUCUCUCAUUCUUUGUAUUGAAAUCUCUAAGCUAUAAUUUGACCAUCUCCCCCAAGCCCUUUGGUCUUUUGCCUU